AAGGACCUAAAAUGCUUCCGCUUUCUCAAAUAAGGGCUUGAAAUGGACUUUAUUUCAAAUAAAAGUUUGAAGUGGCUAAAUCGUCUCAAAUAAGGGCUUGAAGUGGCUGGAUGCCUCUUAAAGGGUAACGGAGGUGUGUGAAGGGAGGCUUAAGCUAAGAUUUUGCUAGUGAGCAUAAUGGUAUAAGCCUACCUAAUAAUGACACUGACUGGUCGAAUAGAGACGAAAGAAGACCAUAGUGAUCCGGGAGUCCAGAGUGAAAGGGCUCUCACUUAACAGAUCAAAGGUACAUUGAGGAUAAUAGACUGAUGACUCCCAAGAGCUCUUAUUGAUAGACUUGUUUGGCACCUUGAUGUUGACUCAUCAAAUCCUGGAGGUGAAAAGGUUCCCAAGAGUUUGGUUGUUCAUUGAUCAAAGUGGAAGAAAAUAAACUGCCAUUUGCCUAGGUA
rnacentral:ncRNA from 1 species